GCAAGUCUAGGGAAAGUAUCCUUCGGGAUAUGGACACUGGCGAACGGGUGAGUAACGCGUAGGUCAUCUGCCCCUAUCCGAGACAUAACGUUUGGAAACGAACGCUAAUAUCUCAUGAGGUGCUUCGGCAUCAAAGCUUCGGCGGAUAAGGAUGAGCCUGCGUCUGAUUAGCUUGUUGGUAAGGUAAUGGCUUACCAAGGCUGCGAUCAGUAGCUGGUCUGAGAGGACGAUC
rnacentral:rRNA from 1 species